UGAGUAAGAAGAGGUUAAAUAUAGCCCAGCAGCGCAGUGGAGCUGCACACAAUCACUGAUAGAGCAAGCAUGUGCAGUGCUGCACCUCUUGUCCCUGGAAUAGAAUAACAACUUCACCGUCCCUGUUUGUGACUCAUUGAUUUUACAGCCCACGUAACGACUUGCAUUCAGUCAUGCUUUCUUUCACUUGUUGACUCACGGUUUGAAGCACUUGCUUCUCAGUAUAGACCAUACAGAGGAAAGAUCUGUGGAUAAUGGGUACCACUAUUAGAAGAAUCAUUGUGGAGUCUGUCUAACCAGGAGCAUACUGGGAUACACUAGUUUGACGCUUGGGGACCACUGUAGGAAGAAAAUGAGGUCUAAAGAAAAUACAGUAGACAGCAUGGUUAAUGAUGUUCUGGUUGUCACACAAAAUUCACUUGAUGUCAGUCAAGAAGAAGAGGAAGGAAAAAUACUGGAGACAGAAAAAACUAUCAAGGUUAAACACUUGGAUGAUGAAGAGAAAAGGCCUAAUAAUGAUGAUAAAUCAGCACAGAAUGACGACCAAAUGUUUGGGCUCACAGAUCUGUCCAAAGACAACCUACUCAAACUGCUUGGGAUCAUGGAAGGAGAGAUUCAGGCACGAGAAGAUGUGAUCCAUCUACUGAGGUCUGCGCUGCUGAGUCGACCCGAGCAGCUGGAGUCCCGUUAUGGCGCAUCGGGGCCGACCCGACCUCUGCAAGCCCUGCAGAGAGACCGAACGCUCAGCAACAACCACGCACAACAUGAAAAUGUGUAUGAUAAGCCAAUGGCAGAGCUGGACAGAUUGCAGGAUAAGCACAAGGAAUCAUACCGCCGUAUGCUGGAACAGCUUUUGCUGGCUGAGAAGAGCCACCGGCGCACUGUCUAUGAGCUGGAUACUGAGAAACGCAAACACGUGGACUACAUGAACAAGAGUGAUGACUUCACCAACCUCCUGGAGCAGGAAAGAGAGAGGUUAAAACGGUUGCUGAAACAAGAAAAAGCAUACCAAAUGAGGAAGGAAAAAGAAUUUUCUAAACGUAUACAAAGAACAUCUGGAGAGCUGGUUAAGCUGAAGUCUUUUGCACUCAUGAUGGUUGAUGAGCGAGAACUUCACUUGGAGAAAAUUGACAAACAGAGCCGCAAAAUACAAGAUCUCCUUCAAAAACUUGAGGAAAAGGAGAAGAAACUACAUGAGGCAGAGAGAAAAGCAAAGGAAGACAACCAGAAGAUCCUGGAUCUUGAGGUUGAGCUGGAGCUAAGAACUUCUAAGUUUGCAAAGGAGCAAGAGGAGAUGUCUGCAAAACUGUCCAGCCAAGAGUCUCAACAUCAGCAGCUGUCCCAGAAACAGAUGGAAUUGUUACACAAACUCAAGGAGCUUAAAGAGACCAACAAAGCUCUUCAGAAAUCAGCAGAGGAGCUCCAGGCAUUAAGGGACAAGAUCAGAAAGGGCGAAUGUGGCAACUCAAAUUUGAUGGCAGAACUUGAGACUUUGCGCAAAAGAAUUCUGGAAAUGGAGGGUAAAGAUGAAGAGAUCAUCAAAACUGAGAACAAAUGCAAUGAGCUGAAGAAGAUGCUCUUGGCUGAGGAGACUAACAAUAAGGACCUGAGGCUAGAGGUGGAAAAACUGCAACAGAGAAUGACACAGUUAGAGACACUAGAGAUGGCCUUCAGUAUGGGCAGGACGGAAUGUGCCCAGUUGCAGGCCGCUUUGGAAAAAGAGAAAAGCUUGACUAAAGAUCUAACAGACGAACUUGUGAGUGUUAAAAUCCGCACGAAGGAACUUGAAUCAUCUGAGCUGAAACUGGAAAAGGAUGAAUUAGCUUUAAAAGAAGACCUUGUGAAACUCAAAUCAGUCACUGUAAUAAUGGUUAAUGAGCACAAGAACAUGGCAGACAGAAUUAGGUCUGAGGAAAAGAAGAGGGAUGAACUGAAUAAACUCUAUAAGGCAGAGCAGGAGAAAGUCAUGGAGGUUACUGAGCGGUUAAUAGAGGAGAGCAAGAAGCGACUGAAACUAAAGUCAGAGAUGGAGUUGAAGAUAGCUGCUCUUGUAAAGGAGAGAGAUGAAAUCAAGGGAAAGCUUACCAAAGCAGAACAGUGUAAAGACCUGAACUCCAAGCAUGGUAUAAUAAAGCACAGUACCAUGAACAAAGAUGAAAAGGAAUCUUUUCAAAAGGUGAUGGAGCUGCAGAGUGUCUCAAAUGCACAUGGAAAAGAUGAGAAUAAAGUUAAAGAGUUGACUUUGGAGAUUGAAAGACUGAAGAACCGUCUUCAACAGCUCGAAGCUACUGAGCGAGACCUGAUCAAACCAGAGUAUGACUUGUUAGCAACUGAGAAACAGCAGGCACAAGACAUGCAUCAAACUGCAUUGAGCAAGGUAAUAGAGCAAGUUGAGGUAGACUGUCAGGAGGCUGAGCUGAGAUAUCGGUUUAUGAAGGAGGAGGCCAAAACAAGAGACCUUCAAGCAGAUGUGCAAGCUCUUAAGGAGAAGAUUCACGAGCUCAUGAACAAAGAAGACGAGCUUUCCCAACUUCAAGUGGAAUAUUCUGUUUUGCAACAGAGGUUUCUGGAAGAGGAGGACAAGAAAAAGAGCAUCAGCACUGAAGUUUUAAAUCUUACCAAAGAACUUGAAGUCACCAAGCGCUACAGCCGCACUCUGCGGCCCAGCACCAAAGGAAGUCGAAUGAUGGAUGUUCCAGUGACGUCAACUGGAGUACAAACUGAAUCAGUUGAAAACAGGACAGCUGACAGUGACACACCUGCUGCGUUCAUAAAGAAGUCUGUCCAAGAGGAGAAUCGGAUCAUGAGUAGUCUCCAACAGAGAAGCUUAAAGAAGCCAGCGCAGAGACCGACAGUGCGUGAACUUUAUCCUCCAACGGUCAGUGACUAUAGUGCAAAGAAGUCCUGGAUUCCUUGGAUGAGGAAAAAAGACAACGGUGCUUCUGAAAUAUCUUUGAAUAACGGUGGUGAGGCUGCACCUUCCGAAGUCAGCAUGUCCCAGAAGUAUGAUGCUCAGGUGAUCCCAGAUAUUAAGAACAAUGCGGCAACUUUACAGAUUUGCAUUGGGCCAUCUGAGGACUUGACCAAACAAGCUUCUGCCAAACUAUCACAAGAAAUUCAGAACCCCCAGACAACCAUCAUUCCUACAAAUGAAUGCACCAAAGAGCUCAAGAAUCCAGUUAAAUCACCACUGACCUUUGCCUCCAUCUCCAGAGUAAGGAGUACAGAAAUCAUGAGGUCUCCCUCUAUGGACAAAUCUUUAUCACCUGCAUCCAACAGCAGCUCCCUAGAGUCUGUGGACAUGAUAACAGGUAGAGCUGUAUUUAAGGAGACCCCUGAAAAACGAAUGGUCCCCACACCUAUCAAGAAGUCAAAUGCUAAUGUCAUUACCACAGACGACAGUAAGAUUCACAUUCACUUAGGAUCGCAGCUCAAGAAGACCUCUGAUCAUGGCUCAGUCAUCAUGGUCAAAUCUGAGUGCAAUGAAGUUUCUACUGGAACUGUGCUACGCUCAUCACACAGUGUGACAGCUAGCAAAUCAACAUCUAGCAAAGCGAUGAGCAGCAUCACCAUCACGCAGGUUACUAAAGCACCAGCCAGACCUGCACUCUCAGUGCAUGGAGAAAAGAAAGAAGUGGAAAGAGUUGAGUGGAAAGUGGAUUUGAGAGAAAAAAAAUGUGGAAAACAUGGACAAUCUCAAGGCUACGAGUCCAUCUCCAGAGAUCUUAAUGUUUGUGUUUCCACUGUGCGCAAUAUCAUCAAGAGGUUUACAGCCCAUGGCACUGUAGCUAACCUCCCUGGACGUGGACGAAAGAGUAACAUUAAUUAAAAAUUUCAACAAAGGAUUGCUCGGAUAGUGGAUAAAGAACCCUGAUUAACUUCCAAACAAAUUCAAGCAGAUCUGCAGACACAGGGUACAACAGUGUCAGCUCACACUAUCCGUCACAAUCUGAAUGAAAAGGGAUGCUAUGGUAAGAGACCCAGGAGGACACAAAAGCAUAAAAAAGCAAGACUGGAGUUUGCCAAAACUUACGUGACAAAACCACAAUCCUUCUGGGAGAACGUACUGUGGACAGAUGAGACAAAAGUAGAGCUUUUUGUUAAAGGACAUCAUGGCACUGUUUACAGAAAAAGAAAUGAGGCCUUUAAAGAAAAGAACACAGUCCCUACAGUCAAACAUGGUGGAGGUUCAAAGAUGUUUUGGGGUUGCUUUGCUGCUUCUGGCACUGGAUGCUUUGACUGUGUGAACAGUAUCAUGAAAUCUGAUGAUUAUCAAAGAAUUUUGGGGUGCAACGUAGUGGCCAGUGUCAGAAAGCUGCAUCUCCACCAUAGGUCAUAGGUCUUCCAGCAGGACAAUGACCCGAAACACACUCCAAAAAGCACUCAAAAAGCAGUGAGUCCCGAUCUGAAUCCCAUAGAACACCUGUGGGAGAAGGCAUCCUUCAAACCUGAAUGACCUGGAGCAGUUUGCAAAAGAAGAGUGGUCCAAAAUUCCAGUAGAGAGCAGCCCAUCAUUGAUGUCCCAUCAGCACGGUCAGGGUUCAGUCGUAUUCCAAUGUCUCGGGGGAUGAAAACUGGAAAAGCCGUGCUUGGAGCUUUGGGAAUCACCACAGGAGUUAAAAUGGAAACAAAUGUGGAA